AAAUACAAUGGCUUCACAUUUCUUUUAAACGGACUGAAACAGACGCCUCAUUUGGAAACUUCCAUGGAAUGGUAAAAAGGAAAGAAAUAAAAUAGGGUUAACAUUUUUGAGAACAACACGUUAAAUUAACUAUUUGGAGUCAGUCAGCGGAUGUUUGGCUGGCCGGCCAACAGCUACAGCAAUUAUACAAAGAUGCAGUGAUCUUAGAAUACAGAUCAACAUGAAGAUGCAAUAAAAUAUAUUUGAAAUAGACCUUUGUUCAUAACACUAGAUAGCUUAUCUACAAAGCAAGCCUAUAGUUGCUGAGCUUUUGAAUUUUAAUAACCUCAAGUACUAUCAUGUUUUUCUGAAAACAGGAAGCCUUUUUUUUUUUUCAAACAAAGCUAUUGGCCAAUAGGCUGUAAGUUUCAUUUUUCAGGAAAUGGCAAUCUGAAACAAAAAAAGAAAACUCCACUGCUCUCACAAACGUAAACCAACUACGGACAUAACAGAAGCCGACUAAUGCAGGGACCACCAGAGAGCAGGUCUUGAUCUAAAUAAAGGCAUAAGGGAUUGAAGAUGUCGAGAAAACUCAUUAUCUGUGUGGCUGUGAGCGUCAUUUUGACCUCAGUGUACGCCGCACGUAGAAGCCUGAACUCCAUCAGUGAUCUGACCAACUGUCCCCUCUCUGAGCGCACAAACAUUAUAGAGCUGCUUCACUGGUUUGCCAACAAAGUUUACAUUCAUGACCGCAUCUGUCUUACCUUUGACCCGACCUCUGCUUACGGCUCGCAUCAUUAUGGAAAUUAUGGAAAUCUGCUGGAUCCACUUCCUCGGGGGUACCAAUACUACACUAUUGGGAAUAUUUAUGAAGAAGAUUCAGAAUCACUCCCGGACUACGUAAGAAAUCCACGGAGGAGGAAUAUUAACCACAACAAAGCUCGGAUCAUAAUUAGAGUCAACAAAGGCAACGCAGCACCUCGAGCUGGACAGACAAUAGACCAAGUGUACAUCACUCAGCACUAUGACGGAUCUGAUGACUACGAUCCAGACCACACAUAUAGAAUCACGCCCAGCCUUUUACAGGCAGUCAGACGGAGAGGCAUUGAUGAACUCCAGCAGCUCGUCAGUAGCUCACAGAGAGAAAACCCAUCUACUCAUCUACACGGGAUCCAACAUUCAGUUCACCCCACAAGCUCAACUUAACCCAAGAACGAACAAUGAUUAUGGUUUCCUGAAGAAAAUCCUCUUAGCCAUUCUUGUUAUCUGUGUUAUGGCUGUUGUUAUUUUCUUAGAGGAUAGGAAUAAUAGAAAAUAAGAGAAUAUUUCCUGACACUACGCAAAACCAUAAAUGUGGCGUUUUGCCAAUGGGAAAAACACCAAAAUUCCCUCAUUUGUAAAAACAAAAGUGUGCAUAAGUUUAGCUUUUUUAAAAUUUGACUGCCAAACAAAUUUUUCUAACAAAAUUAAUCUAUACAUAUUUUAAAUAAAUGUGCUGUACAUGUGAUUACUAGCUUUUCUGUAUAAUACAAUCUGCACCGCUGCAAAAUCUGCUACGCAUUUCUAAAACAUGCUUCACCCAAACUCUCCACUAUUUCAUCAUGUUUUGCACUGUUCAGUUUUGAGAGACUUCUCUAAAGCGUGGUUGGAGGAUUAGUAAAAUUUGACCAAGUACUGACACUGUAUUUGGAGAAUCUACCAAGGCAUACUUCAUAAAAUAUUUCAAUGUUGGUGUAACAAGGAUAACAAUGUGUAUUUCUGUAAUGGGCAGCACUCAAAAGGUCAGUACAAAAAAACACUCAUAAAACCAGCUAAACCGUUUUAUUAACAUGCUUCUUUUAAUACUGAUUAGCAGCAUCUAUGGGGUUUAAUGACACAUUCAGGUUAAUUAAUUGUUCAAUUGCUAAAUGUCUAAAAAAACAAUUACCCUUUAAAUUUGCACAGAACAAUCACUACAACUGUGUUAUGUCUUACUUGGAAGAAAAAAAAAACUGAAAAAAAAAAAGACAGCAAACAGAGAAUGGACCUGGAAAACAACUUGGACAACAUGCAACUGUGAUGAUUAAUGAAAAUUACAAAUAAGUAGUUUUAUCGACAAACAAAAUAAGGACUAAGUCAAUGAUAGAGGUAGCUUUGAAAUGUAAAUAAGGUAGAUAACUGGGGCCAUCAUUUGACUUUUUUUUUUUUUUUUUUUUUUUUUUACAAGCUGGAGAAGAGAUUGCAACCUAUGAAUCAGAUCUGUAUUAUUUUUGCUUGUCCUAAGCCGUAUAUGCACUCCUAAAUAGUAUCGUAAGCCUAUACUGCUCUUUAAUAAAGUUGUUUUUGUACUCCUUUGCUUUGAAUCCACGAUGUCAAAUAAUGCUUAAGUGAACUGUUUGUUUAGUUUAUGGCAAAUUCUGAAAAUAAAUGCCAUUGCUUUUUAA